GGAGGCGUAGCGAAGCGGUCAUAACGCGGCAGUCUUGAAAACUGUUUGGGUGAAAGCCCACGGGGGUUCGAGUCCCUCCGCCUCCGCCA
rnacentral:tRNA from 1 species